AUGCAGGCCUGUGGUGGGCUGGCCUUGCACAAGGUCCAUGGCUGGGCAGGGGAGGGCUGUGUGGAGCUGGAGAUGCGCCCUGCUGCAGCCUCACUGGGUCGGGUGUCGAUGGCCUUAGGUCUUAGGUCCUUGGGCAGGUCAGGGGAGCCCAGGGCUUGGGCAGGGACAGUAAGACCUGUUAGUGCCCUCAGAGCGAUGACACUAUGCAAUAUCUACAACACAAUGCAUGGACAGGAGAAUCACAAGGAAAUGAAUCUAAGGUCUUCAUUCAUAAACAUAUGCCAGAGACACUGGAGAAAAGGCACUGCUUCUUUCCAUUUCAGUCCAAAAGGACUGUUGUGGUUUAACCCGGCUGGCAGCUAAACACCACACAGCCGUUCGCUCACCCUCCCCCCUCUGUCUCUGGUAUGGGGGAGAGAAACAGGAAAGUGAAGCCUGUGAGUUGAGAUAAAGACAGUUUAUUAAGACAGGAAAAUAAUAAUAACAAUAAUAAUAAUAAUGAUGAUGAUAAUAGUAUUAAUAAUAAUAAUGUGUACGAAACAAGUGAUGCACAAUGCAAUUGCUCACCACCCGUUGACCGAUGCCCAGCCUAGGUAGAGAAGGAUGAAGAUCCUAUUACUUCUUACUUAUAACAGCCCUGAACAGUAGAAAGGUAUAUUGCUUCAACUAAAAGUACUCUUCCUUCAACUUAUUAUGGAAAUAGUGGAAUGCUUUAUAGCAUUGCAUUACCUUCGUAGGGAAGGCAAUCUGUUUCAGCAGUGCGUAUUCAAACAGUAGCAGUAGCUGGAAUUAAAGAACUGCGUAUUACUGUACUUUCUGUUAUAAGAGUUCUAUAAAAUUGAAUAUUCAGGAAUGUUCCUGUCCUUCUAUACUUUUCAUCUUUACUGUUACUCAUCUAUCUACUUUCUUUUCUUGUUUAUAUUACUUUAGUGCUACAUGCUACAUCUUUGACAUUAAACACUGAGGCAAUAAUGGCCAAAGUCAUUCAGUUCACACGAUAUUUUUGACGUAUUCUUCGAUCCCCUUCCUCCCCAACCCCCCUUUUUUGUGUGCAUGUGUGUGGAUAUUAGUUCUUGGAUUAUUUUGCUUGGAUUUAAUGCACAAGUCUCAAAAGUCCUCUUGGCAUCUAAAUAUUCCAAUACUAGAUAUUAGUACUUACUGUUAAUAAAAGGAAUUAAUAUUGAAAACA
rnacentral:lncRNA from 1 species